ACGAACGCUGGCGGCGUGCUUAACACAUGCAAGUCGUACGGUAAGGCCCUUUCGGGGGUCCCCGAGUGGCGAACGGGUGAGUAACACGUGAGUAACCUGCCCACAACUUUGGGAUAACGCUAGGAAACUGGUGCUAAUACUGGAUAUGUGCUCCUGCUGCAUGGUGGGGGUUGGAAAGCUCCGGCGGUUGUGGAUGGACUCGCGGCCUAUCAGCUUGUUGGUGGGGUAGUGGCCUACCAAGGCGGCGACGGGUAGCCGGCCUGAGAGGGUGACCGGCCACAUUGGGACUGAGAUACGGCCCAGACUCCUACGGGAGGCAGCAGUGGGGAAUAUUGCACAAUGGGCGCAAGCCUGAUGCAGCAACGCCGCGGGCGGGAUGACGGCCUUCGGGUUGUAAACCGCUUUCAGCAGGGACGAAGCUUUUUGUGACGGUACCUGCAGAAGAAGCACCGGCUAACUACGUG
rnacentral:rRNA from 1 species